rnacentral:rRNA from 1 species
AAAGGAAUAGACGGGGACCCGCACAAGCGGUGGAGCGUGUUGUUUAAUUCGAUGGUAAGCGAAGAACCUUACCCAGGUUUGACAUCCCGAGAAGGCUUCCGAAAGGAAACUGUGCUUUAUUGAACUCGGUGACAGGUGCUGCAUGGCCGUCGUCAGCUCGUGUCGUGAGAUGUAUGGUUAAGUCCAUUAACGAGCGCAACCCUUAUGUUUAGUUGGAUUUUUCUAAACAGACUGCCCUGGUAACAGGGAGGAAGGAGGGGAUGAUGUCAGGUCAGUAUUGCCCUUACACCUGGGGCUACAAACACGCUACAAUGGCCGGUACAAAGGGCUGCUAAGUCGCGAGACGGAGCUAAUCCCAUCAAAGCCGGUCUCAGUUCGGAUUGCAGGCUGAAACUCGCCUGCAUGAAGCUGGAAUCGCUAGUAACGGUAGGUCAGCACACUACCGUGAAUACGUUCCCGGGUCUUGUACACACCGCCCGU